rnacentral:rRNA from 1 species
UCGGGGAGCUGUAAGUAAGCUUUGAUCCGGAGAUUUCCGAAUGGGGAAACCCACUGCUCGUAAUGGAGUAGUAUUUUUACCUGAAUACAUAGGGUAAUAAAGGCAGACCCGGGGAACUGAAACAUCUAAGUACCCGGAGGAAGAGAAAGCAAACGCGAUUUCCUGAGUAGCGGCGAGCGAAACGGAAUUAGCCCAAACCAAGAGGCUUGCCUCUUGGGGUUGUAGGACACUCUAUACG